GCCUAAGUGUAAACUUUUACUUACAUUCUUAUCGCCUGGAUACUACAAGCCACGCUUGAAACCCAAGGGACUUGACGGUACCCCACACCCCACUAGAGGAGCCUGUCGCGUAAUCGAUGAUCCCCGCUUAACCUCACCACCCUUAGCUUAUCAGUCUGUAUACUUCCGUCGCAGCCUACCUCAUGAGUGACUCUUAGUAGGCCAAUGACCCACACGUCAGGUCAAAGUGCAACCAAUAAGGUGGAAGUAGAUGGGCUACAUUUUCUAAAUUAGACUACACGAAAGACUAAAUGAAACUUUAUCAGAAGGUGGAUUUAAUAGUAAGGGGAAAAUAGAGUGCUCCCCUUAAUUCGGCACUGGAGUGCGUACAAACCGCCCGUCACCCUCUUCGACCCAAAAUAAUAGUUCUUAACACCUUAAAAUUAAUAAGAAGGGGUAAGUCGUAACAUGGUAAGUGUACCGGAAGGUGCACUUGGAACCGAAACAUAGCUAAACUAAAGCCCUUCGCUUACACCGAAAAAAUGUCCGUAACAAGACUGUUUCGAGCCAAAAACCUAGCUCAACACCCCCUCUAAAAACUAAAAUAUUCUUCCAAUCUAGUACAGACGAUUGAAAAAUUCCUACGUAGCAAUAAAGCCGUACCGCAAGGGAGGUGAAAUAAUAUGAAAUAAGCACUACAAAGUAGAGACUAACCCUCGUACCUUUUGCAUCAUGGUUUAACUAGUUUAAUCAGGCAAAAAGUCUUAAAGUCUGCCCCCCCGAAACUAAGUGAGCUAUUUAAGGGCAGUUUAUUGAACCAACCCAUCCCUGUUGCAAAAGGGUGG
rnacentral:rRNA from 1 species